ACGGCCCGGCCCGGCCCGGCGCUGCCUCGAGAUGGCGGCCGAGCCUGAGGGGCCGAGUGCGCCCCCCCUCCCCCCUCCGUCUUCCCUCAGGUACGGGAAGGAGGUUUUAGGGGGGGCUCAGCAUCGGAUAAUUCAGUCUGUGGUUACAGCAGGAUUGUUUUUGUUAAUUGGCUGAACUACUUGGGAGCGAAAGGUUCGCAUACAGUAAUCAAGCAAAAAUUAGAGGCUUUUCUGUGAAUUUAGUUGUCACCAAGAUACAGGCAGUUUUGUAGUGUUCAGAUUUCAGUCAUUUUCAUGUUACGUUUACUGUGAGACGUGUACAGCACUUUCCAAACCAGGAGCCGUUUCCUGUCAGUAACACCACGAGUGCUUCGCUCCAUCUUCACUGAAGCUGGGCCUGUCUUCCCACUUGCGCUCUUCUGACAGCCUCAUGCACUUGGAAGCAGUAAUAAGUGGUAAAUUUUUCAUCGUUAGGACAAGAAGCUUAUACUGAGUGGACAACAACUUCUCACAUGGCCACAUGUUGGGGUAAAUGCUGGAGGAGGCAGUGCCAGAGGUGGCUGUGCAAAGCGGAACCGCGGCAUCUCUCAAAACUGCUGGAAUUGAUUCCAGGUUUUCAGUUGUAAUGGCCUACAGCUCUACUGCAGGCUUCCUAGAGGAGAAACAAAUUUGUGCCAGCUUGCUGAAUAACCUCAGUAAUGUUCAGUCACUCAGAACUUCCCCAUCUGUGUGUCCACCCAUCCAAAGAACCAGAUGCUCUGAAGAACUUCAUAACCACCUUGCCUGAUGUAUCAGUAUCUGAAAUAUGUUGCUACCAAAACCACCAUUUCCAGCCCUACGAGCAACGGCAGCAACUGACCUACCUGGAGCCCUCGGUUGUUUAGGCCGUCAGAAAAUGAAAAGACUUAACUUGAAGCAUUAUAACAAAAACUAAUAGAAAGCAACCAUUUUACCAAGGAAGACAAGUUCAGAGAACAAGCAGAUUUCAUCAGAAUUAAAAGCUAAGGUUUCUAUGCAUAAUUAUUCAUCUACUAUUUCCAUUUAGACAGUCAAUUAUUUUAUUAUUGAAAUUAGAUAAUGAGAUAAUUACAUAAACUUCCUUUCUAAAUUUGUAUGUAUUCCAUUGACACAGGUUGCAGAAAUAUUUUUGCCAAGAACUUGAUGAUUAAAUGUGAACUUGCUUCAGCAGAAAUGAAGACAUGUCCUUGAUUCUUUGUUACAAAUUCGUGCAGCUCUUUUCAUUCAACACAAAGAUGAAUACAUAGGAUCUGAAUCAGCAACUAAUCAUUUUCCAAAAUAUUUGGCUAGUAACCUGAAAUUUCUUCUGAAAAUACCUUAGAAGAGAGUUUCCUCAUAUAAAAAAGAAAAAGUGUGUAUGAUGUAUAACGAUUUUUGUAAUAAACUUAAUUGUGUUUUACU